rnacentral:tRNA from 1 species
GGUUAUCACGUUAGUCUUACAAACUAAAAGUCUCCAGUUCAAAUCUGG